rnacentral:rRNA from 1 species
UAAUACCAGCCACCCCGAGUGGGUCGGGACGUUUAUUGGGGCCUAAAGCAUCCGUAGCCGGUUUCUACAAGUCUUCCGUUAAAUACCACCUGCUUAACAGAUGGGCUGCGGAAGAUACUAUAGAGCUAGGAGGCGGGAGAGGCAAGCGGUACUCGAUGGGUAGGGGUAAAAUCCGUUGAUCCAUUGAAGACCACCAGUGGCGAAGGCGG